CUGGGUGGAAAACAGGUGUAUCUGCAGUCACUGGUUUCUAAGGCAGUGGGUUCAUCAGGAGUUGGGUCUUCAUUAAACAUUCAGGAAUGUUCUCUGAAGAAGCUCUCUGACACCUGACAGGAAACCCAUAAGUUCAUCCAGAACUUCAAAAAGCUAUAAAUCCCCUGGGUCAAACUGUCAAGACGAGAAAACUGACUAUAUUUGCAAAGACUCAUUUAUAGAUCAUGUUGAAAGCGUGCUGGUUUUGUUCAGGAACGUUUUGUAUUUAAAAUGUCAAGAAUUACUAGUCUGGUUUGAAAGCUGGGAAGGAGUUUACAACAACUAGAAAACAUGCUUUAAAUGUGACCCAAAACGAUGUAAACAAAUGAAUCUUCUGUUAUUUCUACAAUGUGAAUGUUGUUGAUGUUACAUGCAAAGGGCUCUACUGUAUUUCUCGAUUACAAAAAACGUGUGAUGUAAAAAAAAAAAAAAAUAGAACCUAUAGAAGAAAGUUAAGGCUCUUGUCGCCCUCUCUGUUUUCCUUCCUGACGCCCUCUUUGGAGCUAUGCUCAGAGAGGACAGGUUGUAGAGUGACCGGGUAGGAUGUGUUAAGCUUCAAGGCUAAGAAGGCAAGAAAGGAUUCCUCAAAGAAAAAGCAGAAAAGGCCACAGUAAGGCCUGGGCGUGGGAGGGGGCUACAGACCUUCCCUAGUAACCCGAGCGAGGCACACUCCAACCGCAGGGCGGUGAUGCCACUUGCGGGCCCUCAGAUUGGAGAGGCCGGAGAUGAGUGACAGGGCGGUGCGUGGCGCCGGGGCACAGAGCACCGAGGGACGGAAGGGGCGGCCGUGGGCGCGGAGGGGGGAUCCUGUGGACCGCCCGCCGUCCGGCAGGGGGUAGCGAGGGGGGGGCGAGCGCGGCGGUGACGCGCGGCCGUCACGUGACCCCGAGCUGCAGAGGGACGCAGCCUCGGGUGCAGUCGUCACUCGCGUCUGGCUACCAGCUCCCCGCUGCCCUGCGCUCGGCGGGCUGGCAUCGGGCCCGGGCAGAGCGGAGCAGUCUGUUGGACAAUAGUUCGGGGUGGCACUGCUUGUGGCUGAGGCGAGGGACGAAGGGGAGGAGAAAGCCGCACAGGAUCCCUGGAGGUCUUCCAUAG
rnacentral:lncRNA from 1 species